GAUGUGUCCGGGAAGAGGAGCUUCAGAGAAGACACCCUCGUUUUUGUUUCUGCUCCUAGGGAAAUGUUCAAACUACAGAAAAGUGCAGAGAAUCGUACGACGACCCCACCACCUGGUACCAGCCUCAUCAAUCAGCAACACGGAGUCCCUUCAGUGUGAGGGGGUUUAAGAAUCCCUAAUUUCAGCAGGACAUGUGGCAGCCCAGAAUGAAGAUUACACUUCCCUGCUUUCUUCCCAAAUCCUAGCCGUGCUGGACCAUGUGAUGAGUUAAAGAUGGCUACUGAUUCUUUGGUCCUUCUUCCUUCAAGAGGAAGAGUUUGUUUGGACUUCCCCUCCUCUUAAAUCUGGGCUGGCCUGUGACUUAUUGGACCAACAGAAUACAGUGGAAAUGAUGCUCUGCCAAUUCCGGACUUUGCCCUUAAGGAAACUGGCAGAUUCUGCCAUGGUCUCUUGGAUCCAUGGCUGCCAAGGAAAAGGUCAAACCACUCUGCUGGAGAGACCCCCCUGGAGAAGCCCUAAGACCUCACGGAAAGGAAUUAGGGACCCAGCUGAGCUCAGCACUGCGGUCUUCCCAAACCAUCUUGGUCCUCCAGAUGAAACCAAUCAUCAGCUGAACGCGGCCAAGUGACUAGUCAACGCCCAUGGAUCAGAAGGACCGCCCAGCUGAGCCCUGGCUGAAUUUCAGACCCGCAAAACUGUAGAAAAUAAUAAACAUGAUUAUUGUUUGGGGAGUGUCUGUUGGGUACCAAUACAUAACCAGAACAGACCAUGAGAUAGAAGGUAUUUGUUGAGGAUGCUGUAACAAUUACACCAUCUGGAGGUCUGGCCGCCUCCGGAUAUUUUGUCCUACACGAAAAGUAGACUCUGUUUGUUUAAGCUUUGAUGAUACCUUGGGUCGUGGCUCAUGGCCUCAGUUUCCCCACAAUUAUUCAUUGGAGCAUUAACGCCUGCCCUGUUGCCUCCUUUUGCAUG